rnacentral:rRNA from 1 species
AGCACCACAACAGGUGGAGCCUGCGGUUUAAUCGGACUCAACGCCGGGAAACUCACCAGAUAAGACAGCUGAAUGAUAGUCGGGCUGAAGACUCUACUUGACUAGCUGAGAGGAGGUGCAUGGCCGUCGUCAGUUCGUACUGUGAAGCAUCCUGUUAAGUCAGGCAACGAGCGAGACCCACGCCAACAGUUGCCAGCUCGUCCUCCGGGAUGGUGGGGACACUGUUGGGACCGCCUCUGCUAAAGAGGAGGAAGGAAUGGGCAACGGUAGGUCAGCAUGCCCCGAAUUAUCUGGGCUACACGCGGGCUACAAUGGGUGGAAAAUGGCACGGUGAAUAUGUCCCUGCUCCUU